GGGGGGGGGGCGAUUGAAGCCUUUCAACAUUUUCGCAGUGAGUCAAUUGAACGGUCCUUCGAUCACUAACCCUCCUGUGAUGCAGUGUGUAUGCUCUGCUUCACUUUGAUCCAUUGUCGGCUAGUACAUGAAUCUUUGGAAAAAGGCAUGGAGAUUGGUAAAUGUUGUUGUCCAGCAACCAGAAUAUAAAGCUCCCAAACAUCGUUGCGGAGACAUAUUAUACGGUUGGGGAAUGUUAUUUGUACGUGCCCUUUCUUUAUAUACAAGAAGUGGAAACUUGUUAGAAACUGUUGAGAACAGAAAGUGAAAAUGAGAGGAAACAAAUGAAAAACAGAGUUUGACAGAGAGUUGAGGAAGUCUGAUUCUCAUUGAUACUUUCGACAAUACGAAGGUCACAUAUAUAUACAUUACAAAAAGUAGAAAAGUAAAAAGCUACUGAAAAACUAACUUUUGAUUAUCUACACAACUACAAGCAUCAAUUCAGAACUUUUAUGCACAGUAUGGUAAAGGCAGCUUUAUGCAUAGUGUCCCUCAUACUUCUUUGUGUGCAGCCAUGCAUUUCCUCAGCUGUGCCAUCUUCUUUUCUGUGCCAUCUCCUGUCUCCUUUUUGCUGCUGCUGCCGCCAUCUUUUUCUUUCCAUGUAUUGCAGCUUGCUUUAUCAGCUUUAUGCAUCUCUCGAGUGUUGCAGUGUAUUUCAGGCAUGCUUUGGCUGCUGUCCUUGUGCAUUUCUUGCUUGCAUUUUAUCUUGUUACAUUGCAUUCUGUAAGAAAACUGGUAUAAACUAAGAUGAAAUGGGUGUGGAGUUUUCGUUGAUGAGUGGCAGCUCGAGAUUAGAAGUCGGUUCUGAGGGAGCAGAGGGUGUCAUACUGUUGACUCCCAUAUGUGAGUUAAUUGGUGCAAUCAACCAAUCCCUGAUGUAGCCUGAUGUGCACUUUGUAAUGCAAUCGAUGGUCCAUGAGACCACACCAAUUAGAAGACAGACUAACCACUGCCCCAAAUUCAAUCUUGCACAGCCUGAAACUAUAUGUGCAAUCUCAAUAAAAGCCACCUGGAGUACCAGAGUGACACCCACAGCCACCCAAAACAAGAUGUUUCGAUGAAUGCCCCUAAAUGCAUUCUUCUUCUCUAGCUCUCGUGCAUUGACUUGGUUGAAUACUUGACAAAGAACAAAGCUAUUGAAUAUAAUGGUUUUACUAACCUUCUCGCUGAUGUGCAGGAUAGCUUGCCCUUUGAAUUGGAAGGCCAUUAAGAUGGCUACCUGAUAUAGAACUUGACUGCCAAGAUUUCUCCACAUAGGCUUGGUGAUAAGUGGUUUAGUUCUUCUCAGUGGCCGCAUGUCCAUUAGUUUCCCUGUUGGUGGCUCAGUCAGUAGUGCAAGGCCACCAAGAAGGGCUACAACAAAGUUUGCCCAGAGCAAUUGGACUGAUGUUAUUGAAGAAUUUCCAAAACAUAUCGUUGUUAGCAAGGAUGUCAACAGCCCUGCAGCAUUCAUGGUGAGUACAAGUUGGAUAUAUUUCCGUAUGUUGUCAUAAGUACAUUUUCCGCAACUUACAAUGGUGACCAAGAAAUUGAAAUCUCCACCCCUGAUGAUGAUGUCAGCACCUUUUCUGGCCAUUUCACUGCUACAAGUAUCUAUCACGAUUCCCACAUCAGCUUCUUUUAGUACUGGAAUCUCAUUUGUUUUGACCCCAAUCAUUGCUACUUUAUGGCCUUUUUUCUUCAAACACUGCACCAGACGGAGCCUAUCAGAAGGGAAGGAGCUUCUCAUCACAGUGAUUUUAUCUACAAUAUUCAUCCUAUCUUCUUCGCUGUGAUUAAGAAACUUUUCACCUUCGAGGACCAUCCUAUUUGAGUCAGGAAGCAGUCCACCCUCGCAAACUUCCGACCCGGACACAUUAUCUUCUGAUACCAAUAUGAUGUUAAAUCCAGCAUUUCUCCAAGCUUCUAUUUCUUUUAGCAUCUCUGUGAAGCACAAAUCAACAGCCAUUGGAUUUAGUGUUAGCCAACUAGUUUUAUCGAGACAGAUAGUUGUGACUGAAGCCAUGGCAAGACAAGCCAAAGGUUCUUGAGCAAUGGCCUUGUCAGAGAGCUCCUUCUUAUUCCAAUAAGUGAUGGCUAGUGUGAUUACAAAAGGAAUUCCUUCCAUUAAUCCAACCAAAGACAUAACAACUGAAGUUGUCAAGUUCUGGAAGGCUAGAGUCAACAUCUUCCUCCUUCUCAAGCUUAAAACGGAGGAACAACACUACAAGGAUGAGGAUUGAUAUUGAAAGCCCAGUAAUUUGUAUGCCACUAUUCACCUUGUCAAGUUCUGCUGGUAAAGGGGUCUUUUUGGGGGCAUGGGUACCCUGCUUCAUCAAAUGACCCCAUGUUGUGUCCAUGCCCACAGCUGUAACAAGCAUGCGACCAGUUCCUUCCGUCACCUUUGCACCAUAGAACAGAAAAGGGUUCUUUUUAUCAACAAUGAACUCUGAACCAUCAGUUAGUUUUAGGAAUUCACUGGAUAUGAACAAACCAUCAGCUGGGACCAGAUAUUCACUCUCCAGGCAUACUAUGUCACCCGGCAAAACAUCACAGAUGGAUACUUUCUGUUGGCGUCCACCCCGGAAGACAUCAACACUUUCCCACAUUUCUAAUGCUUUCUUAUUUCCUGUACAUGUCAAUGUCUGGGAAUGCUUGAGCCAGACGUCACGAAGCGCAGGAACAACUACAAGUACAACAAUGGCAAGAAGUAUUAUGAACCCUUCGUACCAACCAGUCCUGUGUCCUUCCUCCGUGAUCCCAAAGCCAAGUGACAGCACUGCAUACACGAAGAGAAGGAAAAUGAUGUAACUAUUGCAUGAUUUCAAGAGGAUUUGAAGGAAGCUUCGUGCAGAAGUUUGGGUUGUGGCGGAGAGUGUGCUGGCCGUUAUGCGUCGAGAACGUAGAUCUUCCUCAUCACCACGUAUUCCAUUCUCUAAAUUCGUAUCCAGAGCCUCUGCAAUUCCUUGAAUACCUCCAAACUUCUAUGGUGCAUGUCUACGACUGGUUUUUAUGAUAAUAAUCACCCAAAAUUCAUUUAUUGGCUACUGCUAAUUCUUUCAAAUUCAAGAUCAUCGAUAUUGUCAUGAUCAAUAUGUGCAUCAUCAGACUAGCUUAACAGGCCGUUUGUUGCUGCAAUUUUUCUCUACAUUGUGAUCCGUCAUCUCGACUAUCCUCCAAGGUCCUUUUUAUUAAGGCUUAAACAUUCGAAGCAAGUUAAUUUCCUAAUUUAUGAGCAUGUUGUUGGGUUUUUUGCUACUUUUAGUUAGUCCCACAUAAUUGCGAAAUGAAUGAGGAGUAAAGGCCAAGGCCUAUAAAAUGAGGUUUAGCCUUUUUUAUAAAGUGCAUAAGUCAAAUGCUUAGUUAGUAACUUUUGACUAUAGUUAAAUUAUUUUGUUGUCAAUUUUUGUAAAAUGGGAAGAUGUGUGAAUUAAAAUUUUGCUAGUGGGGAAAACUUUGUUGGUGUAUUUGGGGUGAUGAGAGAAAUUAUGUGAUUGUAACAAUUUUUCACAUAGUGAAUUUUCUUCUAUGGGUCUGGUGGUUUUUCUCUUGUUUUUGGAGUUUUCUAAGUAAAAUCUGUGUUGUUAUUAUUUCUUUAUUUUUCUUGAUAUUUUUGCAAAGGAUAGAUCCUAGGGGGUGAAUUUGGGAGGUUCAAAUUUUCAACAAGUGAUAUCAGAGCCAUUAAGUUCUUUUUGUGGGGUGGAGUUUUGGUGUGGUAGUGCGGAUACGUACGGUCUAAGGAGGUUUUGUCUAGAAGAUUGAAAUUUAAGCGGGAUCAUUGUGACCCUCCAAUCUUUCCUGAGAACUUACUUAGUGAGUACUAUUCAUUUCUUCGGUAAAAUUCAUUGAGUCAAUAUCAGGAUAUUUUGGAGAAAUUGGAUUACACAAGGCGUUAAAGGGCAGACCAACUCCUGAAGUCAGCAGUGAUACUAGCAAUUGGUGAAACGGCUAGUACAAGGAGCAGAUUCGGCAAGUGGCUCCAAGUCAGUAAAUGGAGAUACUGGGUGUGUGGUGGAAAUUUAUGUCGAUGGCUGAUGAACGUUCAGAAAAGCCAAACAUGAAAGUUACACCAUAAUUUUCAGCAAGAUUGUUUUCAACAUGGAGCAAAGUGAAAUGCUUGGAAUUGGUUUAUUCUGAGUGGGUAUGCUUUUAUGUGGAGCAUGAUAGCAGAAGUUAUGAAAAUCUUCAUUGAGGCGGAGUAUGGUUGUGGGACCGGUCAAAGUCGCAAGGUGUAAAUUUUUGAAUUUUUUGCUCCUUUUGGUUAGUCCCACAUGGGUGGGAAAUGAAGGAGGAGUAAAGGCCAAACCUAUAAAAAGAGGUUUAGCCUUCUUGGUAAUGCACAGUCAAAUGCUUAGCUAGUAACUUUUGAUUAUAGUUAAAUUUCUCUGUUGUCCAUUUUUGUAAAAUGAGAAGAUGUGUGAGUUAAAGUUUUGUUAGUGGGGAAAGCUUUGUAGGUGUAUUUGGGGUGAUGAGAGAGAAAUUGUGUGAUUGUAACAAUUUUUCACUUAGUGAAUUUUUUUUCUGGGUCU